rnacentral:lncRNA from 1 species
UUCUCUUCCAGGUGCAGCUCAGUUGCCAUGAUGCUCCUUGAGUCAAUGAGCUCUUUGGUCUGCUCUUCUGCUCGAGCAGAAAAUGAUCUGUGCUUCACCCUUGAGAAGCUGACAAGAACCACAGGCUUUUUCAGGCAGGUGGUGGAACAUGGGUAUAUCCUUCAGGCUCUAGCCUGAUUUUCUGGUUCAUAAGGCCAAAGGGAGCUGGAAAGAUCCCUGCGGCAGGACUCAUGGUGGAGAGAGAAUGGUCUAGAGGAUUCAGGCCUCUGCACACUGUGUCUGGGUCCCUCCUUAAAGAAUGAUAAAGAUGAGUAAAGAGCUUGAAGCAGCCUGGAGUCCAGCCAGAAACCUUUAACUGAGCUUUAAAGGAGAUGGUCACAACACUUUUCAGAAUACUGGCAAAGGCCUCCUGUGGCCCGGUUUGUCCUGGGAUGAGCAAAAUUUAAUAAAGUUAACCUGCUGUAUCUUUGCUUUUAAUAUAUCUGCUUGCCCAUCACAA